rnacentral:tRNA from 1 species
CAAAAAAUAGUUUAAAAAAACAUU